rnacentral:rRNA from 1 species
UACGUAGGGGGCAAGCGCUGUCCGGAUUUAUUGGGCGUAAAGAGCGUGUAGGCGGCCAGACAGGUCCGUUGUGAAAACUCGAGGCUCAACCUCGAGAUGUCGAUGGAAACCGUCUGGCUAGAGUCCGGAAGAGGAGUGUGGAAUUCCUGGUGUAGCGGUGAAAUGCGCAGAUAUCAGGAAGAACACCUAUGGCGAAGGCAGCACUCUGGGACGGUACUGACGCUGAGACGCGAAAGCGUGGGGAGCGAACAGG